rnacentral:rRNA from 1 species
AUACGGAGGAUCCGAGCGUUAUCCGGAUUUAUUGGGUUUAAAGGGUGCGCAGGCGGCCAUUUAAGUCAGCGGUUAAAUCGUGGGGCUCAACCCCAUUCUGCCGUUGAUACUGGGUGGCUUGAUUGCGGUCGAGGUUGGCGGAAUUCGUUGUGUAGCGGUGAAAUGCAUAGAUAUGACGAAGAACACCGAUUGCGUAGGCAGCUGACCAGACCGCAAAUGACGCUCAUGCACGAAAGUGCGGGGAUCGAACAGGAUUAGAUACCCUGGUAGUCCGCACAGUAAACGAUGAAUACUUGUUUUCGGCGAUAUAAUGUCGGAGGCAAAGCGAAAGCGAUAAGUAUUCCACCUGGGGAGUACGGCGGCAACGGUGAAACUCAAAUGAAUUGGCGGGG